CGGGGCGUAGCUCAGAUGGCUAGAGCGCACGCUUUGGGAGCGUGAGGCCGGCGGUUCAAGUCCGCCCGCCCCGACAA
rnacentral:tRNA from 5 species